GAUGAACGCUGGCGGCGUGCCUAAUACAUGCAAGUCGAGCGAACAGAUGAGGAGCUUGCUCCUCUGACGUUUGCGGCGGACGGGUGAGUAACACGUGGAUAACCUACCUAUAAGACUGGGAUAACUUCGGGAAACCGGAGCUAAUACCGGAUAAUAUAUUGAACCGCAUGGUUCAAUAGUGAAAGACGGUUUUGCUGUCACUUAUAGAUGGAUCCGCGCCGCAUUAGCUAGUUGGUAAGGUAACGGCUUACCAAGGCAACGAUGCGUAGCCGACCUGAGAGGGUGAUCGGCCACACUGGAACUGAGACACGGUCCAGACUCCUACGGGAGGCAGCAGUAGGGAAUCUUCCGCAAUGGGCGAAAGCCUGACGGAGCAACGCCGCGUGAGUGAUGAAGGUCUUCGGAUCGUAAAACUCUGUUAUUAGGGAAGAACAAAUGUGUAAGUAACUAUGCACGUCUUGACGGUACCGAAGCAGAAAGCCACGGCUAACUACGU
rnacentral:rRNA from 1 species